GAUGAACGCUAGCGACAGGCUUAACACAUGCAAGUCGAGGGGAAACGGCAUCGAAAGCUUGCUUUUGAUGGGCGUCGACCGGCGCACGGGUGAGUAACGCGUAUCCAACCUGCCCAUCACUUGGGAAUAACCUUGCGAAAGUAAGACUAAUGCCCAAUGACAUCCCACGAAGGCAUCCGAAUGGGAUUAAAGAUUUAUCGGUGAUGGAUGGGGAUGCGUCUGAUUAGCUUGUUGGCGGGGUGACGGCCCACCAAGGCAACGAUCAGUAGGGGUUCUGAGAGGAAGGUCCCCCACAUUGGAACUGAGACACGGUCCAAACUCCUACGGGAGGCAGCAGUGAGGAAUAUUGGUCAAUGGGCGAGAGCCUGAACCAGCCAAGUAGCGUGCAGGAUGACGGCCCUAUGGGUUGUAAACUGCUUUUAUAAGGGAAUAAAGUGGGUCACGUGUGACUUUUUGCAUGUACCUUAUGAAUAAGGACCGGCUAAUUCCGUG
rnacentral:rRNA from 1 species